rnacentral:rRNA from 1 species
AAGCGUUUAUGACCAGACGUGGGCCUGGCGGAUCAUCCGGCGUUCUCGCCGGUGCACUCCGCCGGUCCAGGCCAGCAUCAGUUCGGCGCGGGGGAUAAAGGCGUCGGGAAUGUGGCUCCCCCGGGAGUGUUAUAGCCCGUCGCGCAAUACCCUGGGCCGGACUGAGGUACGCGCUUCUGCAAGGAUGCUGGCGUAAUGGUCAUCAA